UGAUGUCUAGUAACGUACUUUGUGCGGUGUCUAGUAACGUACUUUGUCAAAGUAUGUUACUAGACAUCGCACAAAGUACGUUACUAGACAU
rnacentral:pre_miRNA from 1 species